UUCCAGGUGUCCACAUUCACUAAUCAGGACAGAACACCAAAACUCACCAUGGACUUUGUGCUUGGCUGGGUUUUCCUUGUUGCUCUUUUAAAAGGUGUCCAGUGUGAGGUGCAGCUGGUGGAGUCUGGGGGAGACCUGGUGAAGCCUGGGGGGUCCCUGAGACUCUCCUGUGCAGUCUCUGGAUUCACCUUCAGUAGUACUGGCAUGAGUUGGAUCCGCCAGACUCCAGGGAAGGGGCUGCAGUGGGACGCAAGUAUUAGCUAUGAUGGAAGUAACACAUUCUACGCAGACUCUGUGAAGGGCCGAUUCACCAUCUCCAGAGACAACGGCAAGAACACGCUGUAUCUGCAGAUGGACAGCCUGAGAACUGAGGACACAGCCGUGUAUUUCUGUGCAGGAUCUUACUAGCUGUUUG